rnacentral:lncRNA from 1 species
CGUUUUUAAUAAGUUUAACCCGUCUUUUUCUAUUUGAAUUUUCAUUUUCUUUUUUUAAUUUUUUUCAUGAUCAUUUUUACAAGCCAACAUAUAAUGAUAUCAAUUAAUUAUAUUUUAGAAUUCUAGAUUUAUAAAAACUCAAUUUUCAAUACAUUACUACUUAAGUCAAUAAAAUUAUUCAUAAAAAAUCUGCAUAUUCUCUUGUUUUAGGGUUUAAAACAUAUAUUUGAUUUUAGAAAAAGUUCAUAAAAUAAUUAUAAAUCAUUCUAUAAAUGUUGAUUUGGUGCGGUAAACCUUGAGAAGGCUAUAUGUUA